ensembl:snRNA U4 U4 spliceosomal RNA
UUGUUUGCACAGUGGCAGUAUCAUAGCCAAUGUGAUACAUUUGAGGCAUGAUUAGUGCUAGUUGGAAACUUUUACCAAUACACAGCCACACUGGCUUGCAAUGGCAUUGGCAAUUUUGGACAGUCUCAAAUGAGG